UACGUAGGGUCCGAGCGUUAAUCGGAAUUACUGGGCGUAAAGCGUGCGCAGGCGGUUUUGUAAGCCAGAUGUGAAAGCCCCGGGCUCAACCUGGGAACUGCAUUUGUGACUGCACGGCUAGAGUGUGUCAGAGGGGGGUAGAAUUCCACGUGUAGCAGUGAAAUGCGUAGAUAUGUGGAGGAAUACCGAUAGCGAAGGCAGCCCCCUGGGAUAACACUGACGCUCAUGCACGAAAGCGUGGGGAGCAAACAGG
rnacentral:rRNA from 1 species